rfam:Hordeum vulgare subsp. vulgare, WGS project CAJW01000000 data, contig: morex_contig_274692
AUAAUACUCCCCCCGUUUCAAAAUUCUUGUCUUAGAUUUGUUAAGAUAUGAAUGUAUCUAGUCAUAUUUUAGUAUUUAGAUACAUCUAUUUCUAGACAAACCGAAGACAAGAAUUUUGAGACGGAGGGAGUAAUUA